rnacentral:rRNA from 1 species
GAUGAACGCUGGCGGCGUGCUUAACACAUGCAAGUCGAACGAAGCAUUUGUGACAGAUCUUUUCGGAGUGAAGUUUCAUAUGACUGAGUGGCGGACGGGUGAGUAACGCGUGGGUAACCUGCCUCAUACAGGGGGAUAGCAGCUGGAAACGGAUGGUAAUACCGCAUAAGCGCACAGAAUCGCAUGAUUUAGUGUGAAAAACUCCGGUGGUAUGAGAUGGACCCGCGUAUGAUUAGCUAGUUGGUGAGGUAACGGCCCACCAAGGCGACGAUCAGUAGCCGACCUGAGAGGGUGACCGGCCACAUUGGGACUGAGACACGGCCCAGACUCCUACGGGAGGCAGCAGUGGGGAAUAUUGCACAAUGGAGGAAACUCUGAUGCAGCGACGCCGCGUGAGUGAAGAAGUAAUUCGUUAUGUAAAGCUCUAUCAGCAGGGAAGAUAGUGACGGUACCUGACUA